rnacentral:rRNA from 1 species
AUUGAACGCUGGCGGCAGGCCUAACACAUGCAAGUCGAGCGGCAGCGGGAAAGUAGCUUGCUACUUUUGCCGGCGAGCGGCGGACGGGUGAGUAAUGCCUGGGGAUCUGCCCAGUCGAGGGGGAUAACUACUGGAAACGGUAGCUAAUACCGCAUACGCCCUACGGGGGAAAGCAGGGGACCUUCGGGCCUUGCGCGAUUGGAUGAACCCAGGUGGGAUUAGCUAGUUGGUGAGGUAAUGGCUCACCAAGGCGACGAUCCCUAGCUGGUCUGGGGGGAUGAUCAGCCAAACUGGAACUGAGAGACGGCCCAGACUCCUACGGGAGGCAGCAGUGGGGAAUAUUGCGCAAUGGGGGAAACCCUGAUGCAGCCAUGCCGCGUGUGUGAAGAAGGCCUUCGGGUUGUAAAGCACUUUCAGCGAGGAGGAAAGGUUGGAAGCUAAUAACUGCCAGCUGUGACGUUACUCGCAGAAGAAGCACCGGCUAACUCCGUGCCAGCCGCCGCAGUAAGAC